CAGUAGCCGCGGUAAUACGUAGGUGGCAAGCGUUGUCCGGAAUUAUUGGGCGUAAAGGGCUCGCAGGCGGUUUCUUAAGUCUGAUGUGAAAGCCCCCGGCUCAACCGGGGAGGGUCAUUGGAAACUGGGAAACUUGAGUGCAGAAGAGGAGAGUGGAAUUCCACGUGUAGCGGUGAAAUGCGUAGAGAUGUAGAGGAACACCAGUGGCGAAGGCGACUCUCUGGUCUGUAACUGACGCUGAGGAGCGAAAGCGUGGGGAGCGAACAGGAUUAGAUACCCGCGUAGUCCCUGUCUCUUAUAC
rnacentral:rRNA from 1 species